GGGCGCGCACGGGACGGGACGGGAGCGGAGCGGAGCGGAGCGGUCCCGUCCCCUGCACGCACAGCGGGAGCGCCCCCGCACGCAGCCCGCCCCGCACCUGCCGUCCCGUAUGCGCGGCUCCCGGUGCAGCGCUGCCGCGGAGGAGCUCUAGGCAAAACCAAGCCCCCGCCGCCUGCCCGGGGGGCUGUUGGGGGGGGCCAUGGGGGUGGCAGGCACCGAGCUGCCCGGCGGCAACAUCAGCGCCAACCAGAGCGCCGCCGACCCCACGCUGUCGCGGGACGUGUGGAUGGUGGGCAUGGGGAUCCUCAUGUCGGUGAUCGUGCUGGCCAUCGUCUUUGGCAACGUGCUGGUAAUCACUGCUAUCGCCCGGUUCCAGCGCCUGCAGACUGUCACCAACUACUUCAUCACCUCGCUGGCUUGCGCUGACCUGGUGAUGGGGCUGGCCGUGGUGCCCUUCGGCGCCAGCCACAUCAUCAUGGAGAUGUGGAAGUUUGGGAACUUCUGGUGUGAGUUCUGGACCUCCCUGGACGUGCUCUGCGUCACGGCCAGCAUUGAGACCCUCUGCGUCAUUGCUGUGGACCGGUACUUCGCCAUCACCUCUCCUUUCAAGUACCAGAGCCUGCUGACCAAGAGCAAAGCACGCGUGGUCAUCCUUGUGGUGUGGGUGGUCUCGGCCCUCACCUCUUUCUUGCCCAUCCAAAUGCACUGGUACCGGGCAGAUCGUGACGAGGCCAUCCUGUGCUACGAAAAGGACACAUGUUGCGACUUCUUCACCAACCAAGCCUAUGCCAUUGCCUCUUCCAUCAUCUCCUUCUACCUGCCACUCGUGGUCAUGGUAUUCGUGUAUGCCAGGGUCUUCCAGGUGGCCAAGAAGCAGUUGCAGAAGAUAGACAGGAGCGAGGGGAGGUUUCACACCCAGAACAAGGAGCAGGAGCAGAAAGGGGGAGCUGGGCACCGACGUUCCUCCAAGUUCUUCUUGAAGGAGCACAAGGCCCUCAAGACCCUGGGCAUCAUUAUGGGCACCUUCACGCUGUGCUGGCUGCCCUUCUUCAUCGUCAACAUCGUGCAUGUCAUCCAGGACGACAUCAUACCAAAGUACGUGUACAUCCUUUUGAACUGGUUGGGCUAUGUCAACUCUGCCUUCAACCCUUUGAUCUACUGCCGGAGCCCGGACUUCAGGUAUGCCUUCCAGGAGCUGCUGUGCCUCCGCAGGUCCGCCCUGAAGAUGUAUGCCAACGGCUACUCAAACAGCAAUGGCAAGAGCGACUACAACGAGGAGGACAACGGCUACCCCCUGGCAUCGGACAAAACCUGUGAGCUGCUCUGCGAAGAGGGGUCCUUCCCUCACCCCGAGGACUAUUUGCACUGCAAAGGUACUGUACCUAGCGGGUAGCCUCGAGACGCGAUGGGCUCUGGCGUGGCGCACAUCGGUUAUAAGGACGAGCCUUUCACUCUAAGGAAAAACACCCCAUAAUAAUAAUAAUGAUGAUGAUGAUGAUCCUGUUCUAGAGCGCGCCUAAAAUCUAAUGGCUGCGAGAAACCUAAAACUCAGCAAACCUCCUGCAAACAGGUGGGGUUGCCUCGGGCGGGCUGCUUGCAGGAGAUCCCUGGGUGUCCAGGAAUGGUUGAGAGCUGAAUGGGCUGACCUCUCUUCCUCACCACCCUGAGCUCAUGAGGGCUCUGAAGAGAUUGCGUGGGAGCAUGGCCUUGCUUCUCUGAGCCUGGGGAUGCUGUGGGAAGUGAUUGCCUUGGCAAACGUCUUCAUCCCAACCCAUAGCCCAUCGUGCAUCACCUGAAGGAGAAGCUGAUAAAGGAUAACCAGAGGACCAGGAAAGGCUCUACUAGCCUCAGAGGACACAGAUGGGGGACCGGCACUAGCAGAGGCACUUUGCAGGAGUCACUGCAUAGGAAACUGGCUCUGGAAAGAAGCUACUGGAGCCCUUGAACUGAAGGAGGUGAAUGUCCAAAUCACCACAAAAGGUGCAGAAGGGUUUCCCUGGCAGAGCAUCCUUGGAAAGCACUUUCAAAAGGGAAGGGGGUGUCGGGACCACGUGGCUGUCUCCAGUGGCUGGUUUGGAAGGGGCACAGCAAGGUCACUGCCUUACGGCCAGGUCAGGAGACCGACAGGACGUGCCCACAGCUGCCUGUCCACGUGCUGGCUGGGGCUCCAGACGAAACGGGAAUCUGACCAAGACUGAGAGAGGAGGAGCGUGGAAGAUUGCUUUGAUUUAUUCUGUGCUUAUUUCUCCUUCUGGUGUCCUCUCUACCUACCUCUUUUUCUCUCUAGGCCUACGUGUACUGCCUGUGGGGCACAGACCCUCACAAACAAGCAGAAGUAUUAUCACAGGGCAAAUCCUGCCCAGUGCAUGGCUGUGCUGCCCAGCACGGUGCUGUUGGUAGACGGGGCUGACGUUGCACAAUGCAGACAUAAUGUGUCCUUUGUUUGCUCCUUAUGCCAACAAAUGUGCAACUGCAGUGCCUGGACUUCAGACAGGAGAAAGGCUUGAGCCUGGCAAUCCUUUUACUUGCAAUCAGUCACAUGCUAGCACGGCCAGCCACACUUGGGAGCCAAGUUUUAACACCCGAGCCCCACAACAUUAUAGAGCAUCCGUUCCUCUCCUGUAGCUGUGGAAGCAAGCAUGCCGGCAGGCUGCACGCUCAGCUCCUGCAUCAUGGAUCGUAAAAAGCUCAAUUCAGCAGAGAAAGAGACAGAGACGGAGGGAGUGACGGAGGCUCAGACAGGAAAUUGUAGGAAAAACUGAUUCAAAACCAUAGGAAAACGCGCACAUCUUAAUUGCAGGUGGUGUCCCAGCUGCAGACUGUCAUGCCCAGCUGGGCAGCUGCAGGUUCACUGAGCUGUUCCCGGAGUCCUGGGCAAAACGUGCCGGUACCGAACUGUGCCGGGAGCCCCAUCUCAGACCUUCUCUCUCGGGCUUCCAGCUGCAAACCCCUUCCCUCAUGUGCAAUCGUAUUUAUUUAUUUAUUUUCUUGCUGCUUGAUGCAAAGCUGCUAACAGAGCACCCUCCCCACAAACAUCCGCAGCCAAGAGGGGAUGGAGAGAGGGAGUGCGUGCUGUGCGUCUGUGCAACAGGAAUGGGCGAAGGGGCGGGUGUAUGCCUCGAGCGGGCCGGAUCUGGGCACGCACACAGGGUGUGCAUAAAAGGCAGAAGGAAAAGGCUGCAGUUAAACCAGAAAUACUUUCCCUGGGGUGAGUGUGCAAUUUUGAGCUUUCAAGAAUUAAGAAUAGGCUGGGCAAACCUUUAAGUUAGGAAGGACAGCAGGGCAGCUGUAGGCUGCAUAAGCUCUGCAGAGACCCUUCAGCCAGAUUUUUCUCCUGCUUGUGCGAGUAUGUGUCUCUGUGUGAAUUGCUUGCCCAGAUCCUGUCCUCACAGCGCUCCCAGCUAUAAUGAAGCAAACUUACUAUGUGUACAUCCUGGCUUUGGAUAGUUGCAGGGGGCCGUAUCCCCAGCCAGGGCAAGUUCCCACCAGCGGGCUCACAGAGGUUUAAUACCUGGCAGUCUUUUCUGCUCUGUCCAAAAGAGAUAUCCGUGUACAGACCCAUUUAACGCUGCCAGUUUGAGACCAGCAGGCACGACCCUCUCUAGACAGUGCUGUAGCUGUGCUGUAACGGUUCAUGCUCGGCAUUGCCUGUUCCUACCCAUUUUGCUAAAAACUGGCACCCUGGCAGUAACCACUCAUGGUCAGGUAUCCCAUUUCAUGGAAAGCCUGUGUGUCCCAGUGCAGGGGGGAACCUUUUCUCUGGGAGAGGGGGGCUCUCCCGUGCCCUGCUGCUCUCCCACAGCUCCCACGCUCAGGAGGGAGCCGGGGUGUCCAGGCAUCCCUUGGCAUGGCUCCCAGCUGCUCCAGGGAAGCCUGGCUUCUCCCAUACCCUUCCCUCUGAGAUGCCGCACCAAGGCUUUGUCCAAACCUGUGUGGUUGCUGAAUGGAAAUAUUUCCCAACCAAACCCUGUUCCUCAGAAGAUUCCUGGCUGGCUUUAGUCAUGUAUUUUGUACUGGAAACACUGCCCUUGGGACUAGUUUUCAGGUUAGACACAUGCAUAGGAUCGUUGUAGUUCUUUUUCUCACAAAUCCUCUCAUGUGCAAGAGCAGGUUGCAAAAAGUGAAAUGGAUAUGGUUGUUCUGGUAAUUUGCCAGCAUGGUCCAAAAGCAAUGACCUGCUUAUUGCUGAUUGCUUCCUUGCAGAGCUGUAAGAGUUGGAGAUGGAAGAGAUGUAUUACAAAUCCAUCUGCCUUUCACCCUUCAGGCUUGUUCCAUGUAUUACAUUUACUGGUGGUGUGUUGGGUCUAUUUUUAAAUGCCCUGACAUCAGGGUUAUUGUGCUGUCCUUUGGGAGACUGCUCUGUAGUCCAAGUCAGGAGUUGCUAUUACUAUUCCACCUACAUUUCCUCCUGAAAAUUUCAUUCCAUUAUUCCUAGUGAUGCUCUUCAAAUACCUGCUGCUCAUUACGUCCUGGUCAGGCUCUACCACUUGAUCCAUGCUCCUCUUUCCUCCUCCAAGAACCUCUCUGACUCCCUGAUUGCUGCCGCUCCCUGUGCUUCCCGUAGUUCGGCACAGAAUGAGCCUGUUUUUUAUUCAUUCAGCUGUGCAGAAUUUGUCCAGGAUCCAUACCCACAAGUGGAGCAGCCAGGACCUCUGGCAGUGCCCGGUGUCCCCAGCGGCUGUGGAGCUGCUCCCUCCCCCAUUGCAAAGCACCUGGGGCGCAGGAAAGGAGCAGACACAGGGAUGUGUCCAAAAGCGGACCGGCAUUGGCAAUGAGCACUUGUACGCUGCGGGGAGCAAACGCCUGCUAGGGACAGUAUACAACAAAGUCUCCAUCUCAGCAAAGCCCAAGCUGAGCAAUGCAGGUGGGUGAUGCUCCACUGUUGCCUGUGCAGCCGUAUGGGGGAUCGGUGGGGGCAGAGGUCCAUGCGGUGGCAGGGAGCUGUGGUCUGUCCUGCCUGGAAAUCGUGUCUGUGAGCUGAAGCCUCAGCUCCACGCGGAGGGAGCCCCGUGCCCUGCGAGCAGCACGGGGGCUCAGCAGGCUCAGUGCACGUGGAGUCUUUGUGUGGGGAGUCUAUGUGUACAGCGCUCGGCUGGAGCACCAUUGUGAUUGUAAGAGCUCUGUUCUUCUCACCGAACAAAUUGUUCCUACAAAUAAAGAAUGAAAAGUC